GGAAGCAAGGGGCUUUUGCUGGAGGUCCCUGCAUACUUGAGGUCUUUUGAAGUUCUAAUUACCUGAAUUAUACCACCAACUUCCUGGGAACUCAAGCAUGGCCCAUCUGAAGAAAACCUCAGAGAACACCAACAGUUAAAUGUACCUACAUAUUCUGCUUCAUUUCUGAUUCUGCUGGAAAUUCAAGGUUGCUCUGAAAGUUGUCUUAUUUAUUCCCAUGGAGAUGACGACAAAUUCAAAGAGUGGAAUAGCACUAUAUGAUAGAGCAAAUUCUGAGCUACAAAACACUGUUUUUCAACAUAAUCGCCACCAUUAGCUGUGCAUUUUCACCAGUAAUGAGUGAGAAACUGUAUGCUAUCCUUGUAAAAAUAAUAAUAAAAAUGAAAAUCUGUACCAGCAGUGGUGACCUGCUGUUGCCACUGCUGAAACAAGCUACUCACUGCCUCAUUGUGCUAACAUCCUCUGUUAUGUCACCAUGAACAUUCAGCAAGCAUCGGUGAAUGUCAGUGGGUACCAUUUCUUUCCAUAUAUAGGAAUUCACUGACACACCUUUGCUUCAUACACACUUCCAUGUCAGAUGCCAUUCUGUCAGACUGCCCUUCUGCUGCCAUCUGUUGCAUGGCAACAAAACUUAACUGAGUAUUGGUGGGAAGGUUCAACCUCAGCUGCCAUACCACCAAUAUCUGCCUUUGACAUCACUGGCCAGCAUAAUAAAGGAGGCAUUAUGUUCAGAUUAGCCCUUAUAUGUUAAGUAUAUAUAUAAUGGUUGAUGCCUCAGUUAAUGUUUCAUGUAACUCAUUUUUAAGCAAUUUUUUCUUUAUUUUGAUUGAAUUUCUGAAAGCCUUAUAAAUAGUGAUAUUAGUAGAAAGUUCUGAGAGCUUAUUUCAUGUAAGAUUAAUAACACAUUGCAUGCUAAACUGCCCUACUGCUCAUAAUCUAGUUUAUCCUGAUUAAAUGUAGAGGUAAGAGUUCUCUUAAAGUUCUGUCUUUCUGAAUUACAAACAGCUUAGCUGUUUUUUACCUUCUCAUUUGUAGGAAGCUCAGAUGUGGCUUAGUAAACAAUGGCAAUAUUAUCUGUAAUCAGACACCUGUCCAUCCCAUUACAACUGUCACUUGUCCCAAUUUUUUUUUCCUUAUAUGGAAAAUGUUGGCACUGCAAUGCAACGAGAAGGUAAAAAGCCAUGUGCUAAUCCUUUUAUUAACCUGUUAGUAGGUAUGCCAGCC
ensembl:lncRNA